GUGCUCACUUCAGCAGCACAUAUAAUAAAAUUAGAAGGAUACAAGAAGAUUAGCAUGGACAUUCGUAAAGCAUUCCAUAUUUUU
rnacentral:snRNA from 1 species